UGCAUAAUUGUUUAUGACUAUGCAGUAGGCUGAUGCAAUAGAAAGGGUAUGUAAAGGACAUCUCUGAAAUAGCAGCUGUGCUCUUGGCUGAAUGCCAAGCACCCACUGCAAAAACUUUGCUUUAUUCUCUUUGUCUCUUAUUGUCCUUUAUUCAAUUUUUAAACUUUUACAGGAGAGUGAACCUCGUUUUUCACAAUGGGGAUAAAAUGGGGCAUGGGGUUCUCAAAUGCCUCAAGAAAGCACCAAAACAACCCAAGCACCACAUUCCCCUCAUGCCUGGGCUGGCAGCCCAGCAGCUCAAGUAGAAGAGUCUUCCAGGAGCUCAGGGGAGCAGCAGCUCUCGUGCUGAGGCACAGCCUGUGGAGAAAGGGGUGUCCCUGCUGCUGUCACAGCUGGCCCAGGACCGACAGGACCACCUGGAGAGCUGUGCAGGGAGCAGGCAGGAGACACGAGGUGCAGAAGGGACCUCCUUGCUUCCUGAACAUCUCAGAGAGGAGCCAGGCUGCAGCUGGAUGCAGUCUUAGACUUAGUCAAUAGUUUAUGUUUAAAGGAUAGUAUAGGUGUAGAUAGAUAGUACUGAGCCUUUAUACAACUGUGUUCCAUAGGAUGAAAGAUAUAUUUAUAGAAAAAUAAAGAGUUUAUUAUGAUCACCAUGAAA